ensembl:processed_transcript Gm13759 predicted gene 13759
CUAUAAUCCCCUUCCCAUACUACAAAAAGAAAAAGAACCUCAAAUGCUGUAAUCAGCAAAUGGACUAUCAGUCAUUAAAAUUUUGUCAUGAAUGAGAUACAUGAAUUUUACAGAUCACUUAUAAUUGCAAAAUUGCUCUGAAAUCUUGGAUCUCAACGGAUGCUAACUGGUGAUUGGCAUAUUCUGUCCACAAUGAACCAUGGAAAAAAGCAGUAAUAUCACAGUCUUUAUUUUAUUGGGACUUUCCCAAAAUAAGAACACUGAAAUUCUCUGCUUUGUAUUUUUUUUAUUUUGCUACAUUGCUAUUUGGAUGGGCAAUGUUCUCAUCAUGGUUUCAAUCACAUGCACUCACCUCGUUGAGCAACCCAUGUAUUUCUUCCUCAACUAUCUCUCACUCUCUGACCUCUGCUACACAUCCACAGUGACCCCUAAAUUAAUGACUGACUUACUGGCAGAAAGGAAAGUUAUUUCCUAUAAUAAUUGCAUGAUACAGCUCUUCACAACCCAUUUAUUUGGAGGGAUUGAAAUCUUUAUUCUCACAGGCAUGGCCUAUGACCGCUAUGUGGCCAUCUGCAGGCCCCUGCAUUACACAAUCAUCAUGAGCAGACAUAGAAGUAACUUGAUCAUCAUGA